rnacentral:rRNA from 1 species
GAACCGUCAAACGUUAUUCGGAUUUAUUGGGCUUAAAGGGUAUGUAGGCGGCGCCAUCAGUCGGGUGUGAAAGCCCUCGGCUCAACCGAGGAACUGCGCCCGAUACUGUGGUGCUUGAGGGAGACAGAGGUAAGCGGAACUGAUGGUGGAGCGGUGAAAUGCGUUGAUAUCAUCAGGAACACCAGUGGCGAAAGCGGCUUACUGGGUCUCUUCUGACGCUGAGAUACGAAAGCUAGGGGAGCGAACGGGAUUAGAUACCCCGGUAGUCCUAGCUGUAAACGAUGAGCACUUGACCGUGGGGCCCCCCAUAGCCUCUCGGUCGCAGCGAAAGUGGUAAGUGCUCCGCCUGGGGAGUAUGGUCGCAAGGCUG